rnacentral:rRNA from 1 species
UCCGUAGGCGGUGUGGCAAGUCGGAAGUGAAAUCUCUGGGCGUUAACUCAGAGGCUGCUUCCGAAACUGCCGUGCUAGAGUGCGAGAGAGGCAAGUGGAAUUGCGGGUGUAGCGGUGAAAUGCGUAGAUAUCCGCAGGAACAUCCGAGGCGAAAGCGGCUUGCUGGAUCGCAACUGACGCUGAGGGACAAAGCUAGGGGAGCAAACAGGAUUAGAUACCCUGGUAGUCCUAGCCCUAAACCAUCAGGACUUGGGGUUUGCCCUGUACGGGGCAAGUCCCGUAGCUAACGCGUUAAGUCCUGCGCCUGGGGAGUACGGUCGCAAGGCUGAA